AUUGAACGCUGGCGGCAGGCCUAACACAUGCAAGUCGAACGGUAACAGGAAGCAGCUUGCUGCUUCGCUGACGAGUGGCGGACGGGUGAGUAAUGUCUGGGAAGCUGCCUGAUGGAGGGGGAUAACUACUGGAAACGGUAGCUAAUACCGCAUAAUGUCGCAAGACCAAAAGAGGGGGGACCUUCGGGCCUCUUGCCAUCGGAUGUGCCCAGAUGGGAUUAGCUUGUUGGUGGGUAACGGCUCACCAAGGCGACGAUCCCUAGCUGGUCUGAGAGGAUGACCAGCCACACUGGAACUGAGACACGGUCCAGACUCCUACGGGAGGCAGCAGUGGGGAAUAUUGCGCAAUGGGC
rnacentral:rRNA from 1 species